AUUGAACGCUGGCGGCAGGCCUAACACAUGCAAGUCGAGCGGAUGAACGGAGCUUGCUCCUGGAUUCAGCUGCGGACGGGUGAGUAAUGCCUAGGAAUCUGCCUGGCAGUUGUGUAUAACGUCCGGACACGGGCGCUAAUACCGCAUACGUCCAGAGGAAGAAAGGGGGGGAGCUUCGGACCUUACGCUAUCAGAUGAGCCUAGGUCGGAUUAGCUAGUUGGUGGGGUAAAGGCCUACCAAGGCGACGAUCCGUAACUGGUCUGAGAGGAUGAUCAGUCACACUGGAACUGAGACACGGUCCAGACUCCUACGGGAGGCAGCAGUGGGGAAUAUUGGACAAUGGGCGAAAGCCUGAUCCAGCCAUGCCGCGUGUGUGAAGAAGGUCUUCGGAUUGUAAAGCACUUUAGGUGGGGAGGAAAAGCAGUAAGUUAAUACCUUGCUGUUUUGACGGUACCAAAAGAAUAAGCACCGGCUAACUUCGUG
rnacentral:rRNA from 1 species